rnacentral:rRNA from 1 species
AGGACGAACGCUGGCGGCGUGCCUAACACAUGCAAGUCGAACGGGACCAGGGGCAACUCUGGUUCAGUGGCGGACGGGUGCGUAACACGUGAGGAACAUGACCUUCGGCGGGGGAUAGCCGGCCCAACGGCCGGGUAAUACCGCGUACGACCACUUGGGGACAUCCCUGAGUGGUGAAAGCAGCAAUGCGCCGAUGGAGUGCCUCGCGGCCUAUCAGCUAGUUGGUGAGGUAACGGCUCACCAAGGCGACGACGGGUAGC